GCGACAUAUAUUCGCUGUACGCUCUGUUGGAGGCCGAUCUGGAACCUCGGGCACGGACCAAUCGCGCAGUCAGCGGUUUCCAGAAACUGCUGGCUACGUUACAUUUUUUGGCGUCAGGCACAUUCCAGCCUACUUUGUCUCAAACAUGCGGUUUUUCACAGUCGACACUGUCGCGCUGUAUAACCCAGGUCAUUAGGGCUUUCCGCAAAUUGACGAUCCAGUUCAUCACAUUUCCAGAUACGGACAGCGGAUGUCGUGAGAUCAAAUUAGGCUUUUUUACCAAAUACAAUUUUCCCAAUGUUCUGGGCACGAUUGACUGUACCCACGUGCAGAUCAGACCGCCACGGAAUUCGGAAGAAUGUUUUUGGAACCGAAAACAUUUCCAUUCCAUGAAUAUACAGGCGGUCUGUGAUGUCAACAUGAAAUUUUUGAAUAUUUUUGUGGGAUUUCCUGGAUCGUCUCACGACUCCUUCAUCCUAAGUCAGUCAUCGCUGUUUGACAAUUUCGAAACAGGAAACAUGCCAGGUGGCUGGCUGUUAGGUAUUUAUUUUAAUUGUUUUUUUUUUUUUUUUAUAUUACCCACCAUUUUUUACAUUUCCAUAGGCGAUGCGGGUUAUCCCAACAAAUCGUGGCUCUUGACCCCAUUGUCUAAUCCUGUUGGUAGAGCAGAAAAACGUUACCAAGAGACACACAAAGCAUCAAAGCAAGUAAUUGAGCGUGCCUUCGGUGUACUUAAAAGCCGGUUUAGAUGUUUAGACACUUCCGGUGGUGCUCUUUUGUACUCACCGGCAAAGGUUUGCGGCAUGGUAAAUGCAUGUUGUAUUUUACACAACAUAUGUGUCGCAAACCGUUUGCCGGUGACUCUUCGUCGCAGUGCUUUCCGACGCGGGAACCGUUCUUCUGCUCUACCGGUGGGUAUGGACGAAGGAGAUGAUUCCCGACGGACAUUGAUCCAAAGCUUUUUUUCCACUGCCUAGUUUUACAUCCUGUUGACGCACCUUCCCAGACCUGUUUUCAAAGUUUCGUCCUGUUGACGACCUGUUACCCCGUUUUUUCCUGUUGUUGGGUUGCCGCAAAUAUUGGACCCGUUUAUCCAACUCUACCAUGGGCAACCUACUUGUGAUGUGGACCUGAACCUCCGCCAUGUAGCAGACAACUCCCCUCAGGUCUUGCGGAGUAUCCUUCCCAAGUGGCUUGAAUCCUCAUGGAUGAAAAGGGACACGACAGUUCCCCUGCUGUACCAUGGGCGACCUAACACAAUACCACUGCAUCUCAUAUAUUACAUUUUAUUUACUAAUAAUUUAAAGAAAAACACACAAAACUUCUCAUUUUAAAACUUUA